CGGGGCGUAGCGCAGCCCGGUAGCGCGCCUGCUUUGGGAGCAGGAUGUCGGAGGUUCAAAUCCUCCCGCCCCGACCA
rnacentral:tRNA from 1 species